UCUUUGCCCUUACCGACUUUAGGUACACCCAGCUUCCAUGGCUUGACCGGCGGUGUGUGCAAGGUCCGGGAACGUAUUCACCGUAUCAUUGCUGAUAUACGAUUACUAGCGAUUCCAGCUUCAUGGAGUCGAGUUGCAGACUCCAAUCUGAACUGAGAGGCGUUUUUUGGGAUUGGCUCCUUAUCGCUAAGUGGCAGCCCUUUGUACUCCCCAUCAUAGCACGUGUGUAGCCCUGGGCAUAAAGGCCAUGAUGACUUGACAUCCUCCCCUCCUUCCUCGCGUCUUACGACGGCAGUUUCACUAGAGUUCAGAGCGUUACCUGAUGGCAACUAAUGAUGGGGGGUUGCGCUCGUUGCGGGACUUAACCCAACACCUCACGGCACGAGCUGACGACAGCCAUGCACCACCUUACUGGCGGUGUAUUGCUACCAUGUGAGCUUUUCACUCGCGGUUCACCUACAUUUCUACC
rnacentral:rRNA from 1 species